rnacentral:lncRNA from 1 species
UCGUUAUCGCCUGAUACAACUAUAGAGAAUAAACCACCCACAGAACAUGUACAAUAUUCAACCACCAUAGAAUCCGAACCUACCAUGCAGGAUUCUAAUCCAACCACCCCUACCACAAAAUCAUCAACCUCUAUCAUGGGUGGAGAUGGGUUUGGUAAGACACGCCAUUCUUUUCAACAUCAUGCUGGAGGGCAGAAAAAGGAUGAUCGUGCUAUAAAAAACUCACUACCUUUCCCAACUAAUUUUAGAGAGUGUUCGUCUAGCGAUGAACAACUACAUAAAUCAAAUCUGGAUAAACAAUGUACUUCAACCAGUACCUCUAAAUAUGUCUUCCAAUCUCACACAUGUCAUAAGGGGGAACAGAAUCUUCCACCUUAUUUUGUCCCUAUUUAGAGCACAACUCCACUAAUAGAGUUACAUUUCUUCACACCAGAAUUAGUGACAAACAUGAACCCCGUGUUCACUCCUUGGAAUGCAAAACCAGACCUACCCCAAGGUUUCCAUGCACAGAGCACACAACACAUACAUAAUCAGGUUCCUCCACAGCAACCCGCACAUCAAAAUCCAGUACAAAAUGAAUCAACUAAUGAAAAAAGAGGUAGAUCAUGUCAACUUAAUACCAGAAAACAUAAUAGAGAUUCAAACCUCGACGAAAUAAAGGAAUUUCUAUUCAUAUGCAAGAGCAAAGCCAAAUCCUUUACUGUCCAAUGGCACUUUACAAAUGCACAAUGGAUAUAAAGCCUCCAGCACACCCAACUGUAGGUCAGCAUGCAAUGAUUCUAGUACCCAUUUAGAGGAGGAAUACCAUACUCGCAAUAAGGGCAAGGGAGAAUGAAGACAUACACAACCACAACCUCAACAUGAAUAGAGCUACUACCUUCAUAAUAUAAAAUAUUCAUGGAGGAAACAAUACAGCUUUUAGGCUAAAUUUAAGAGAUUUGGUAGAUACGCACCACCCCAGUAUGGUCACCCUUUUGGAGAUCAAAAUGGAUAGUUAUGUUCCUCUUCUUAAUCCAUUUGGGUUCUCAGAUAUGAUAGAAAUACCUGCAGACAGGCAAUCAUGUGGUAUGAUCAUCUUGUGGGAUCACACUAUUGUUAAUGUGCACAGUUUUGCGCGUAAGGUAAUUUCUACAAAGAAAAUCUUGAUUAUUUACCUCUAUUUAUGACAGUACAGAUAAAGCUCUAAGAAAUAAAAUAUGGCAAAAUCUUAUAGAACAACAUGCAUCCUACACAAGUCUGUGGCUUGUGGAAGGAGAUUUUGACGACAUACUAACUGAAAACGAAAAAAUUGGUGGUAGAACUAUUAAUAAAAAACAUACAAAGCUUCUGUGGAAUUGUAUUAACAAUUGCAACCUCGUAGACCUAGGGUUUAAAGGUUGCAAAUUUACUUGGUCUAAACUUAGGAAGAAAAAUAAUGGUCUAAUCACGGAAAGACUUGACAAGGUCAUCGCCAAUGAGGAAUGGAAUAGUUUAUUCCAUAAGGCCAUUGUAACGCAUCUUCCUAAAACACACUCCGGACAUAAUCCCCUCCUAAUUAAAAUUAUUCCCAAAAAAAUAUUGUAGUGGCUAAAAACCUUUUAGGCUAGAAACAUA